rnacentral:misc_RNA from 1 species
AAGUCGUAACAAGGUUUCCGUAGGUGAACCUGCGGAAGGAUCAUUAAUGAUUUGGCGAACCGAGCGUUAGCGAGGUUUUGCGAUCAACGUAUUUAAAACCCAACUCUUUAUAAUAAUUUAUACAUAAUUUUUAAUGAUAAAAUUAAAGAUCACUUUCAACAACGGAUCUCUUGGCUCUC